rnacentral:rRNA from 1 species
UACGUAGGGAGCAAGCGUUGUCCGGAAUCAUUGGGCGUAAAGCGCGCGUAGGCGGCCUCGUAAGUCCGUUGUGAAAGUCAAAGGCUCAACCUUUGAAAGCCGAUGGAUACUGUGAGGCUAGAGUCCGGAAGAGGCGAGUGGAAUUCCUGGUGUAGCGGUGGAAUGCGCAGAUAUCAGGAGGAACACCGAUAGCGAAGGCAGCUCGCUGGGACGGUACUGACGCUAAGGCGCGAAAGCGUGGGGAGCAAACAGG